rnacentral:rRNA from 1 species
GUGGGGAAUCUUGCGCAAUGUGCGAAAGCCUGACGCAGCCAUGCCGCGUGGAUGAUGAAGGUCUUAGGAUUGUAAAAUCCUUUCACCGGUGAAGAUAAUGACUGUAGCCGGAGAAGAAGCCCCGGCUAACUUCGUGCCAGCAGCCGCGGUAAUACGAAGGGGGCUAGCGUUGCUCGGAUUUACUGGGCGUAAAGGGCGCGUAGGCGGACAUUUAAGUCAGGGGUGAAAUCCCGGGGCUCAACCUCGGAACUGCCUUUGAUACUGGGUGUCUUGAGUAUGAGAGAGGUGUGUGGAACUCCGAGUGUAGAGGUGAAAUUCGUAGAUAUUCGGAAGAACACCAGUGGCGAAGGCGACACACUGGCUCAUUACUGACGCUGAGGCGCGAAAGCGUGGGGAGCAAACAGGAUUAGAAACCCGUGUAGUCC